AGGGUUAUCGCCAAGCGGUAAGGCACAGGAUUUUGAUUCCUGCAUGCGAAGGUUCGAAUCCUUCUAGCCCUG
rnacentral:tRNA from 2 species